rnacentral:misc_RNA from 1 species
GAUGAAGAACGCAGUGAAAUGCGAUAAGUAAUGUGAAUUGCAGAAUUCAGUGAAUCAUCGAAUCUUUGAACGCACAUUGCGCCCGCUAGUAUUCUGGCGGGCAUGCCUGUUCGAGCGUCAUUUCAACCAUCAAGCCCCCGGCUUGUGUUGGGGACCUGCGGCUGCCGCAGGCCCUGAAAACCAGUGGCGGGCUCGCUAGUCACUCCGAGCGUAGUAAUACAUCUCGCUCAGGGCGUGCUGCGGGUUCCGGCCGUUAAAAAGCCUUAUUUACCCAAGGUUGACCUCGGAUCAGGUAGGAAGACCCGCUGAACUUAAGCAUAUCAAUAAGCGGAGGA